GGCUGUAGCUUGGUAGUAGAGCACCUGCUUUGCAUGCAGAAGGUCCCAGGUUCAAUCCCAGGUAGGGCUG